CAUAAGCUGGAAACGCAUGGUCACUUCGUUGUGGGUUUUGUUUGAGUAUGUGGUGUCCCACUCUGGAGUCUUGUGUGUUCUGUGCCUUUGGAAGAAUGUUUCUCAUAGCAUACAACCAUACCAGUACACUCACAUGCUUCCUGUUCGCUGUCUUUGUGUUAAACUAUAUGGUCAAGCCUCUAAAGUCCAACAUGGACAUUAGAGACUAAGAUCUAUUGUUAGGAAAAGGCAUGGUCAUUCCAAAGAUUCUUGUACAGAGUCUCCCCUACCCACAUUACUGACAUCUAAGUGAGGGGAACACUUUGGAGGGCCUGACCUCUGAACAUGGCAGGAUAUGUGUAUAGUGGAUUGCAACGUCCAUUCGCAACAUUUGCAAACAAACCUGUUUGCCUUUCAAGCGGCUCCCUGAAUGUAUUGUUUGUGGAGUGCUGAAUAAACGCUGGCAUGAAAGCCCUCAUAUGAGAAUAUCGAGUGAGUCCUUUCUCAGACUGUGCAUUGACAUUGCCACCAACAUUACUGAGGCCUCAGUCUGGGACUGGAAGACUGUUUCUAUGAGCCUAUGGCAGUGCAACAGUAUGGGAACCAGUGACAAAGAAGAGCUGGUCCUUCACGGUGGCCAGGAGGCACCAAAAGGAGAGAAUGGAGACACUGAAGGAAGGAAUCAAAGCAGAAGAAUGUAAAAUCAAGAACUGCGACAGGAUAAAGCCACGAGUACAUCUUGUGACCUCAAGACCUAUGCUGACAACUCUAAAGGAGAAACAAAAGCCUUUGACCUUUUAAGGUAUUUUCAGAGUAAGAGUGUUUGCACUCUUCUCUGGAAUGAAUCACAUGACCUUCAGCACAACAGUGACAUCACCUGCAAGUCAGCUUUGGUAAUCACAGGAAAGAAUGCUUUCGAAGUGUACCUGUGUAUGUAAACACAUGCAUUUGUUUGUUGUCAAAGAAGCAGAGGAUUCCAUAUAUUCUUGCAGGUUUUGUCACAUGCCAGUUCUUGGAGAACAAUGAUAAACACAAGUGAUAUUUUACUUCAAAAUGCUGAAAUAAUGCCUGAUUUCUAUCCCUUUGGCUGCCCAGUCA
rnacentral:lncRNA from 1 species